rnacentral:rRNA from 1 species
AUGCAUCUUGUUAACAAUGAUCUUUCUCAGGAGGAGGCAGAAGCUAGUCAGGCUGAUGACGUAGAGACUCAACAGCAUGAAGCUCGCUGGACAACCCGACACAGUGGCCAACUGGUCACCUCUACCGGUUUACCUGAUACUCCGGUUCGGAAGCGCCGGUCUGAGGUGACACCUCCUUGCUCUUCUGGUGAAUCGACAGCAACUCAACUCCCCCCUUUGAAAACUGUGGCCGGGGCCAAAGCCAGACCCAGCAAGAAAGCUCGGGUCACCAAUCCGCCAGAAGACCCUGUUGCCGAAGAAGAAGAACCAAGAGGUGAAUCGGAGCAGACUGGUGAACCGGAAGGCCUCCAUCCUGAAACAACUUUUGAUGAUCCGCCCCAUGACGGCCAACAUAUUGACGAACCAACAGAAGCUGAGCCUGCCGCCCCUGAUACUGAACCGGCAGAACCAAACCGGGCUAAUCCAAUGAAAGACACUGAAAUUCCAUCAUCAUCCACCAAAAAUCCUGAAGGCCAAGGUGACGAUGUUAUUAUUACUGGAACAGGCCACAACUCUCCUGGUCACCCCGUCAUUUUGGCUCAACAUAGUGCCAAAGAAGAGCAAAUUGCCAGGGAUAAAGGUAAAUGGAGCAACGACUUAUCAAACUAUGCUCAUCCUAACGUCGAUGAGCUUCAUUCCGACUUCUUAAACCGUCUGCACUCAAACCGGGAUUAUGAAGCCGGUUUGGUGAAUUUGAUGAAAGAACGAUAUGAGGCCGAACUGAGAAGCAAAGAUGCCCAAAACUCUGACUUGCAAGAAAAUGUGAAGUCUCAACAAGCCGAAGCUGCAAAAGAGAAAGAGGAGCUGACGCAGGCCCUGGACGGAAUGGAAAAAUUGAAAGAAUCUUUCAACCAAGAUCUUGCUGAAUGGGAAACCGAAAAAGUCGGUUUGACCAAAAGAGCUAUAGAUGCCGAGGAAGCCCUGAAACUGGUGGUUGAAGAACUAGCCGGUUUGAAGCGCCAAAUCAACGCUAUGACCUCUGCUAUCUUUGGAAUUCGGAUCACUCAUCUUGGUGCAGAUAUGCGGAUGAAGCUCAAAGUGGCAUAUACAUUGGUUGAGCAGCUAUACUCUGGAUCUUAG